rnacentral:rRNA from 1 species
UACGGAGGGUGCAAGCGUUGUUCGGAAUCACUGGGCGUAAAGGGCGUGUAGGCGGUCCGCUAAGUCUGAUGUGAAAGCCCGGGGCUCACCCCCGGAAGGGCAUUGGAAACUGGCGGACUCGAGUCCCGGAGAGGAAGGUGGAAUUCCUGGUGUAGCGGUGAAAUGCGUAGAUAUCUGGAGGAAUACCGGUGGCGAAGGCGGCAUCCUGGACCGGCAUUGACGCUGAACAGCGAAAGCUAGGGGAGCAAACGGG